AUCGGUCCUCGGUAGUGGCCGCCGGAACCCCGUUCCGGCCGCUUCGAUCGAAGGCCGUC
rfam:Gordonia rhizosphera NBRC 16068 DNA, contig: GORHZ154.